GGGUGAGUAAUGCAUAGGAAUUUACCCGAUAGUGGGGGAUAACCUGGGGAAACCCAGGCUAAUACCGCAUACGUCCUACGGGAGAAAGGGGGCUUUGGCUCCCGCUAUCGGAUGAGCCUAUGCCGGAUUAGCUGGUUGGUGAGGUAAUGGCUCACCAAGGCGACGAUCCGUAGCUGGUCUGAGAGGAUGAUCAGCCACAUCGGGACCGAAACACGGCCCGAACUCCUACGGGAGGCAGCAGUGGGGAAUAUUGGACAAUGGGCGCAGGCCUGAUCCAGCCAUGCCGCGUGUGUGAAGAAGGCCCUCGGGUUGUAAAGCACUUUCAGCGAGGAAGAACGCCUGGCGGUUAAUACCCGCCAGGAAAGACAUCACUCGCAGAAGAAGCACCGGCUAACUCCGUGCCAGCAGCCGCGGUAAUACGGAGGGUGCAAGCGUUAAUCGGAAUUACUGGGCGUAAAGCGCGCCUAGGUGGCUUGAUAAGCCGGUUGUGAAAGCCCCGGGCUCAACCUGGGAACGGCAUCCGGAACUGUCAGGCUAGAGUGCAGGAGAGGAAGGUAGAAUUCCCGGUGUAGCGGUGAAAUGCGUAGAGAUCGGGAGGAAUACCAGUGGCGAAGGCGGCCUUCUGGACUGACACUGACACUGAGGUGCGAAAGCGUGGGUAGCAAACAGGAUUAGAUACCCUGGUAGUCCACGCCGUAAA
rnacentral:rRNA from 1 species